rnacentral:rRNA from 1 species
UACGGAGGGUGCAAGCGUUAUCCGGAUUUACUGGGUUUAAAGGGUGCGUAGGUGGACAGGAAAGUCAGUGGUGAAAUCUUCGAGCUUAACUCGGAAACUGCCAUUGAUACUAUUUGUCUUGAAUACUUUGGAGGUAAGCGGAAUAUGGCAUGUAGCGGUGAAAUGCUUAGAUAUGACGUAGAACGCCAAUUGCGAAGGCGGCUUACUGGACAGUUAUUGACGCUGAGGCACGAAAGCGUGGGGAGCAAACAGG